AGCCGUACCGAAAGGAGCGGUGUUGGGGCCUACGGGUGAUUAUGCCGGAAUGAGUAACGAUAAAGCAGGUGAGAAUCCUGCUCGCCGAAAGCCUAAGGUUUCCUGGGCAAGGUAAAUCCGCCCAGGGUUAGCCGGUUCCUAAGUCGAGGCCGAAAGGUGUAGACGAUGGACAGCAGGUCAACAUUCCUGCGCCACAAAGUGGACUGAUGGAGUGACGGCGUUUGCAUGGUGAGGGGCCGAUUAGAAAUGGCCCUCGCCUCAUCGUGAGGAGGUAGAUAGGAAAAUCCGCUACGGAAUCCAAGCGAUGGGGACAACGGCAUUUAUGUUCCGAUAGUCAUCUGAAGGACGUCCAAGAAAAACUUCUAGGGUUGAAGCUUUGUGACCGUACUAAAACUGACACAGGUAGGCGGGUCGAGUAGACCAAGGCGCUCGGGAGAACACUGGUUAAGGAACUCUGCAAAAUGGCCCCGUAAGUUCGCGAUAAGGGGUGCCCUCUGGGGUUUACGCUCUGGGGGGCCACAGUAAAUCGGCUUCUGCGACUGUUUAUCAAAAACACAGGACUCUGCUAACUCGUAAGAGGAUGUAUAGAGUCUGACGCCUGCCCGGUGCUGGUAGGUUAAGGAAGACAGUUAGUCCUUCGGGACGAAGCUGGCGACCGAAGCCCCAGUAAACGGCGGCCGUAACUAUGACGGUCCUAAGGUAGCGAAGUUCCUUGUCGGGUAAGUUCCGACCUGCAUGAAAGGCGUAACGACAGAAGCACUGUCUCAACCAGUGACCCGGUGAAAUUGUAGUCGUGGUGAAGAUGCCACGUACCCGCGGUUAGACGGAAAGACCCCGUGAACCUUUACUGUAGGCUGAUAUUGGGCUGUGAUAUGUUCUGUGUAGGAUAGGUGGGAGGCUUUGAAGCUGCAGCGCAAGCUGUGGUGGAGCCAACCUUGAAAUACCACCCUGGUCAUAUUUUAGUUCUAACGCUGAUUCCCAUGAAUCUGGGCAGCGGACAUUUUCAGCUGGGCAGUUUGACUGGGGCGGUCUCCUCCCAAAGAGUAACGGAGGAGUACAAAGGUACCCUCAGCCUGGUUGGCAAUCAGGCAUCGAGCGUAAAGGUAGAAGGGUGCUUAACUGCGAGACUUAUCAGUCGAGCAGAUACGAAAGUAGGUCUUAGUGAUCCGGUGAUUCCGUAUGGAAGGGUCAUCGCUCAUCAGAUAAAAGGUACUCCGGGGAUAACAGGCUUAUCGCUCCCGAGCGUCCAUAGCGGCGGAGC
rnacentral:rRNA from 1 species